GACGAACGCUGGCGGCGUGCUUAACACAUGCAAGUCGAACGGAAAGGCCCUGCUUUUGUGGGGUGCUCGAGUGGCGAACGGGUGAGUAACACGUGAGUAACCUGCCCUUGACUUUGGGAUAACUUCAGGAAACUGGGGCUAAUACCGGAUAGGAGCUCCUGCUGCAUGGUGGGGGUUGGAAAGUUUCGGCGGUUGGGGAUGGACUCGCGGCUUAUCAGCUUGUUGGUGGGGUAGUGGCUUACCAAGGCUUUGACGGGUAGCCGGCCUGAGAGGGUGACCGGCCACAUGGGUACUGAGAUACGGCCCAGACUCCUACGGGAGGCAGCAGUGGGGAAUAGUGCACAAUGGGCUGAAGCCUGAUGCAGCAACGCCGCGUGCGGGAUGACGGCCUUCGGGUUGUAAACCGCUUCCGCCUGUGACGAAGCGUGAGUGACGGUAAUGGGUAAAGAAGCACCGGCUAACUACGUG
rnacentral:rRNA from 1 species